UGAGGAAUAUUGGUCAAUGGGCGAGAGCCUGAACCAGCCAAGUAGCGUGCAGGACGACGGCCCUAUGGGUUGUAAACUGCUUUUAUGUGGGGAUAAAGUGCGUGACGUGUCAUGCAUUGCAGGUACCACAUGAAUAAGGACCGGCUAAUUCCGUGCCAGCAGCCGCGGUAAUACGGAAGGUCCGGGCGUUAUCCGGAUUUAUUGGGUUUAAAGGGAGCGUAGGCCGCGUUUUAAGCGUGUUGUGAAAUGUAGACGCCCAACGUCUGCAUCGCAGCGCGAACUGGGACGCUUGAGUACGCGCAACGUUGGCGGAAUUCGUCGUGUAGCGGUGAAAUGCUUAGAUAUGACGAGGAACUCCGAUUGCGAAGGCAGCUGACGGGAGCGGCACUGACGCUUAAGCUCGAAGGUGCGGGUAUCAAACAGG
rnacentral:rRNA from 1 species